rnacentral:rRNA from 1 species
CCUACGGGUGGCAGCAGUGGGGAAUAUUGCACAAUGGGCGCAAGCCUGAUGCAGCCAUGCCGCGUGUGUGAAGAAGGCCUUCGGGUUGUAAAGCACUUUCAGCGGGGAGGAAGGCGGUGAGGUUAAUAACCUCAUCGAUUGACGUUACCCGCAGAAGAAGCACCGGCUAACUCCGUGCCAGCAGCCGCGGUAAUACGGAGGGUGCAAGCGUUAAUCGGAAUUACUGGGCGUAAAGCGCACGCAGGCGGUCUGUCAAGUCGGAUGUGAAAUCCCCGGGCUCAACCUGGGAACUGCAUUCGAAACUGGCAGGCUAGAGUCUUGUAGAGGGGAGUAGAAUUCCAGGUGUAGCGGUGAAAUGCGUAGAGAUCUGGAGGAAUACCGGUGGCGAAGGCGGCCCCCUGGACAAAGACUGACGCUCAGGUGCGAAAGCGUGGGGAGCAAACAGGAUUAGAUACCCUAGUAGUC